UGUGUGUUAGUGGAAGCGUCUGGAAAGGCGCGCGAUACAGGGUGACAGCCCCGUACACAAAAAUGCACAUGCUGUGAGCUCGAUGAGUAGGGCGGGACACGUGGUAUCCUGUCUGAAUAUGGGGGGACCAUCCUCCAAGGCUAAAUACUCCUGACUGACCGAUAGUGAACCAGUACCGUGAGGGAAAGGCGAAAAGAACCCCGGCGAGGGGAGUGAAAAAGAACCUGAAACCGUGUACGUACAAGCAGUGGGAGCACGCUUAGGCGUGUGACUGCGUACCUUUUGUAUAAUGGGUCAGCGACUUAUAUUCUGUAGCAAGGUUAACCGAAUAGGGGAGCCGAAGGGAAACCGAGUCUUAACUGGGCGUUAAGUUGCAGGGUAUAGACCCGAAACCCGGUGAUCUAGCCAUGGGCAGGUUGAAGGUUGGGUAACACUAACUGGAGGACCGAACCGACUAAUGUUGAAAAAUUAGCGGAUGACUUGUGGCUGGGGGUGAAAGGCCAAUCAAACCGGGAGAUAGCUGGUUCUCCCCGAAAGCUAUUUAGGUAGCGCCUCGUGAAUUCAUCUCCGGGGGUAGAGCACUGUUUCGGCAAGGGGGUCAUCCCGACUUACCAACCCGAUGCAAACUGCGAAUACCGGAGAAUGUUAUCACGGGAGACACACGGCGGGUGCUAACGUCCGUCGUGAAGAGGGAAACAACCCAGACCGCCAGCUAAGGUCCCAAAGUCAUGGUUAAGUGGGAAACGAUGUGGGAAGGCCCAGACAGCCAGGAUGUUGGCUUAGAAGCAGCCAUCAUUUAAAGAAAGCGUAAUAGCUCACUGGUCGAGUCGGCCUGCGCGGAAGAUGUAACGGGGCUAAACCAUGCACCGAAGCUGCGGCAGCGACGCUGAUGCGUUGUUGGGUAGGGGAGCGUUCUGUAAGCCUGCGAAGGUGUGCUGUGAGGCAUGCUGGAGGUAUCAGAAGUGCGAAUGCUGACAUAAGUAACGAUAAAGCGGGUGAAAAGCCCGCUCGCCGGAAGACCAAGGGUUCCUGUCCAACGUUAAUCGGGGCAGGGUGAGUCGACCCCUAAGGCGAGGCCGAAAGGCGUAGUCGAUGGGAAACAGGUUAAUAUUCCUGUACUUGG
rnacentral:rRNA from 1 species